UUCAGUGGGUGAGGGAUUCAUCAUCACGUUGAAAACGUCCUGGCACCCUCUGCUGAUCUUGACACAGUGAUGAGAACAGCGAUACGGAGUGGCCCCUUCCUGCUGAGCUACAUGGGAUUUCUUGGCCCCUGUUGUCAUGGCAGCUGAGAUUGAAGAAGAAUUGCAGAUGUCAGACAGCACUCAUACACAGCAGCAACAUGUGACUGGCAGGUCUGCCAGUGCGUGGGUGAACCUGUCGCUUUGGAGACCAAAUAAAAGCACCAAAGAAGAAAUCAAAUCAUCGGUAUCAUAAUUUUAAGCGCCUCUCUCUGACGGGAACAGAACAUUCUGGAGAGAAAGAAAAGAACAAACAGCGGUAAAGUCAGCACUUGAGGAAACGUUUAUGUCCCUUGUUUGUCUGUAAUG